rnacentral:rRNA from 1 species
UACAGAGGUGGCAAUCGUUGUUCGGAAUUACUGGGCGUAAAGGGCGCGUAGGCGGUCCGAUAAGUCCUGUGUGAAAUCCCUCGGCUCAACUGAGGAACUGCACGGGAGACUGCCGGGCUUGAGUUCGGGAGAGGGAAGCGGAAUUCCGGGUGUAGCGGUGAAAUGCGUAGAUAUCGGGAGGAACACCAGUGGCGAAGGCGACUACCUGGCCUGUUCUUGACGCUGAGGCGCGAAAGCUAGGGGAGCAAACGGG